rnacentral:rRNA from 1 species
UACGUAGGGGGCUAGCGUUGUCCGGAUUUAUUGGGCGUAAAGAGCGUGUAGGCGGCCAGGUAGGUCUGCUGUGAAAACUCGAGGCUCAACCUCGAGACGUCGGCGGAAACCAUCUGGCUAGAGUCCGGAAGAGGAGAAUGGAAUUCCUGGUGUAGCGGUGAAAUGCGCAGAUAUCAGGAAGAACACCCGUGGCUAAGGCGGUUCUCUAGUACGGUACUGACGCUGAGGCGCGAAAGCUAGGGGAGCGAACAGG